UGCGUAGGCGGGCUAAUAAGCCAGUGGUGAAAUCUCUCGGCUCAACCGGGAAACUGCCAUUGAUACUGUUAGUCUUGAGUUCGGUUGAGGUAGGCGGAAUGUGUAAUGUAGCGGUGAAAUGCUUAGAUAUUACACAGAACACCAAUUGCGUAGGCAGCUUACUAGACCGACACUGACGCUGAGGCACGAAAGCGUGGGGAGCGAACAGGAUUAGAUACCCUGGUAGUCC
rnacentral:rRNA from 1 species